GAUGAAGAACGUAGCGAAAUGCGAUAGGUAAUGUGAAUUGCAGAAUUCAGUGAAUCAUCGAAUCUUUGAACGCACAUUGCGCCCGCCAGCAUUCUGGCGGGCAUGCCUGUUCGAGCGUCAUUUCAACCCUCGAGCCCCCCCGGGGGCCUCGGUGUUGGGGGACGGCACACCAGCCGCCCCCGAAAUGCAGUGGCGACCUCGCCGCAGCCUCCCCUGCGUAGUAGCACACACCUCGCACCGGAGCGCGGAGACGGUCACGCCGUAAAACGCCCAACUUCUUAGAGUUGACCUCGGAUCAGGUAGGAAUACCCGCUGAACUUAAGCAUAUCAAUAAGCGGAGGA
rnacentral:misc_RNA from 1 species